UGAGAGAUAUUUUGUAGUUUGGCAUGAAUGUAAUGUAAUUGUACACAUAAUGAUGAAUAAGUGCUUCACCCUAUGAGUGUUGAUUUAUUAAACAUGUUUAUCCCCGUUUUGAUUCAAUUUACACAUGCCAAAAUAACCGUAAAUAAUAAAGAAUGAUAAGGUGUGUUAAGACUGAAGUUGUUGUGUUUUUGCCAGAUUUUCACCGUGAUGAGCAGCUGUGUGUGAUUUGCAGAGGAACAGAUUGAUUCAUUCUUCUGGAGAAAUACAAGGAUUAACAGAAAACUGCGGGAUGUUUCUUGAAGUGGAAAGAAACAUGAUACCAACGGAUCUGGGCAGUCGUGCUGGUGUCCGUGUGAGACUGAUCUGAGAACUGAGAUGGGGUUUGGAGUCCCUCAGUGAUCCACCUGUAGCGUGCCGUGAUGUUAAUGAGAGUCUGUGUGUCCUGGUGCGAGGUUGUAAAUUAAUUCUUCUCCUUUGAGCACAGGCUCCUCCGUCAGCAGUUUGACGUCCGUUCGGGACCGUCUGAUGUUCACAGAGACACAUCUCCAACAUCUUCACAUCUUCAAAGUCUCCAGCAUCUCCAUCCACAGCAAAUGGACUUUCACGCCAGCAAGUCAAUAUCACAUCUGAGGCCUCAUUUGUCAACGGCUGAACCAGCAGGACACAUUUGGUCCAGCAGCAUCAUCGGAGAUGACAUACUGGUGAACAGAACGGCUGUGAUGCUCCACCAGUUUGACCAGUAACAACCAACAUGAACCAGAAGAGAACCAGCGGGCCGGACCGUGGUAGCAGUAAGGUGAGACACAAAGACGAAUGGUGUAAAAUCGAAGACACUUGAAGAACAUUGAUCUAACAGCCACAGGAUGACAGCGGUAAGCAGUACAAAUGAUUCUGUGUGGAGGAAAGAGAACAUCGAUACUACACGCAGGCCAAGGUCACGGAGAAACCGCUUCAGCUCUUCUGAUCUACCGCACUUAUAGUUACACGUGAUAGUGGCAAAUAUUGGCAAAUUAGAGAGAGAGAGAGACUAAAGGUUGUCAUUGAGGAAUAGAUGGCGA